CGAAUGCUGACAUAAGUAACGAUAAAGCGGGUGAAAAGCCCGCUCGCCGGAAGACCAAGGGUUCCUGUCCAACGUUAAUCGGGGCAGGGUGAGUCGACCCCUAAGGCGAGGCCGAAAGGCGUAGUCGAUGGGAAACGGGUUAAUAUUCCCGUACUUGGUGUUACUGCGAAGGGGGGACGGAGAAGGCUAUGUUGGCCGGGCGACGGUUGUCCCGGUUUAAGCGUGUAGGUGUGUGUUCCAGGUAAAUCCGGUUCACUUUAACACUGAGGCGUGACGACGAGGCACUACGGUGCUGAAGCAACAAAUGCCCUGCUUCCAGGAAAAGCCUCUAAGCAUCAGGUAACAUCAAAUCGUACCCCAAACCGACACAGGUGGUCAGGUAGAGAAUACCAAGGCGCUUGAGAGAACUCGGGUGAAGGAACUAGGCAAAAUGGUGCCGUAACUUCGGGAGAAGGCACGCUGACACGUAGGUGAAGUGAUUUACUCAUGGAGCUGAAGUCAGUCGAAGAUACCAGCUGGCUGCAACUGUUUAUUAAAAACACAGCACUGUGCAAACACGAAAGUGGACGUAUACGGUGUGACGCCUGCCCGGUGCCGGAAGGUUAAUUGAUGGGGUCAGCGCAAGCGAAGCUCCUGAUCGAAGCCCCGGUAAACGGCGGCCGUAACUAUAACGGUCCUAAGGUAGCGAAAUUCCUUGUCGGGUAAGUUCCGACCUGCACGAAUGGCGUAAUGAUGGCCAGGCUGUCUCCACCCGAGACUCAGUGAAAUUGAACUCGCUGUGAAGAUGCAGUGUACCCGCGGCAAGACGGAAAGACCCCGUGAACCUUUACUAUAGCUUGACACUGAACAUUGAGCCUUGAUGUGUAGGAUAGGUGGGAGGCUUUGAAGUGUGGACGCCAGUCUGCAUGGAGCCGACCUUGAAAUACCACCCUUUAAUGUUUGAUGUUCUAACGUGGACCCGUAAUCCGGGUUGCGGACAGUGUCUGGUGGGUAGUUUGACUGGGGCGGUCUCCUCCUAAAGAGUAACGGAGGAGCACGAAGGUUGGCUAAUCCUGGUCGGACAUCAGGAGGUUAGUGCAAUGGCAUAAGCCAGCUUGACUGCGAGCGUGACGGCGCGAGCAGGUGCGAAAGCAGGUCAUAGUGAUCCGGUGGUUCUGAAUGGAAGGGCCAUCGCUCAACGGAUAAAAGGUACUCCGGGGAUAACAGGCUGAUACCGCCCAAGAGUUCAUAUCGACGGCGGUGUUUGGCACCUCGAUGUCGGCUCAUCACAUCCUGGGGCUGAAGUAGGUCCCAAGGGUAUGGCUGUUCGCCAUUUAAAGUGGUACGCGAGCUGGGUUUAGAACGUCGUGAGACAGUUCGGUCCCUAUCUGCCGUGGGCGCUGGAGAACUGAGGGGGGCUGCUCCUAGUACGAGAGGACCGGAGUGGACGCAUCACUGGUGUUCGGGUUGUCAUGCCAAUGGCACUGCCCGGUAGCUAAAUGCGGAAGAGAUAAGUGCUGAAAGCAUCUAAGCACGAAACUUGCCCCGAGAUGAGUUCUCCCUGAGACUUAGAGUCUCCUGAAGGAACGUUGAAGACGACGACGUUGAUAGGCCGGGUGUGUAAGCGCAGCGAUGCGUUGAGCUAACCGGUACUAAUGAACCGUGAGGCUUAACC
rnacentral:rRNA from 1 species